rnacentral:rRNA from 1 species
CCCCUUAGAUGUUCUGGGCCGCACGCGUGCUACACUGAGUGGAUCAGCGGGUCAGGUUGCGCGAAAGUGUUUCCUAAUCUUUAAAUCCGCUCGUGAUGGGGAUUGACGGUUGCAAUUUUCCGUCAUGAACGAGGAAUACCUUGUAAGCGCGGGUCAUCAUCCCGCGCUGAAUACGUCCCUGCCCUUUGUACACACCGCCCGUCGCUCCUACCGAUUGAGUGGUCCGGUGAGGCUUUGGGAUCUGAGCGGAAAGAGCGAUUCGCUGUUUCUGCCCGGAAAACUCAGUCGAACCUUAUCAUUUAGAGGAAGGAGAAGUCGUAACA